rnacentral:rRNA from 1 species
ACUCCUACGGGAGGCAGCAGCUAAGAAUCUUCCGCAAUGGACGAAAGUCUGACGGAGCGACGCCGCGUGGGUGAAGAAGGCCGGAAGGUUGUAAAGCCCUUUUCUACGUGAGGAAUAAACCCAGGAGGUAAUGCCUGGGGGAUGACGGUAGCGUAGGAAUAAGCCCCGGCCAAUUACGUGCCAGCAGCCGCGGUAACACGUAUGGGGCGAGCGUUGUUCGGAAUUAUUGGGCGUAAAGGGCGCGUAGGCGGCCAUGCAAGUCUGGUGUGAAAGACCGCAGCUUAACUGCGGGAGCGCGCCGGAAACUGUAUGGCUUGAGUUCUGGAGGGGGAGUUGGAAUUCCAGGUGUAGGGGUGAAAUCUGUAGAUAUCUGGAAGAACAUCGGUGGCGAAGGCGAACUCCUGGCCAUGAACUGACGCUGAGGCGCGAAAGCGUGGGGAGCGAACAGGAUUAGAAACCCCAGUAGUCC